GGAGUGGACACUGGAGCAGAGACCUGAAUGAGGUGAGGACGCGAGCCAUGCGAAGAUCUGGAGGAAGAGGUUUCCGGGCAGGAGGAACGGAAAGCGAAAAGGUUCUGAGGCAGAUGUGAUGGCUGGAGCUCCAUCUUGGACCUAACUAGCAGAGCUGGGUCUUUGAGAAUUUCUUGGUGCUGAGUGAAGAAGUCAAGACAGCAGGUUGGUAACAGUCGAUCAGCUCCCUUUGUACGAUAGUUCUGUAACGCACCAUCGCAUGGGGGACGGGAGAGCACAGCCCUUGGAGUCAGAUGCUCACCAGGCACCUUUCAUCACAAUUUGGCUUCACGUGCAGAAGUGCCUGCAGGGAAACAAUGUGCUAGUUCCUCUAGAAUACGAGCUAUUUGAGGAGCUUUGUGUGUUUUCCUGUUGCACCACAAGCAUCUAGAACAGUGCCAGAUACAUAGAAGGUGCUCGAUAAAUAUUUGUCUGAAAGGUUGAAGAAUGGGAGCAAUCUGCCCUGUGACAGGACAGUUCAUUUUUCAUCAGUAACCCGGCAUUCUGGUUUACAUCAGUCUCUACAAGCUCGGUUAACGUGAGUCUACUCUCAAGAGAUGGAUCCAUUCUCACCAUACUCUCAAGAUUAAACUUUUGGGUUUAUAAAGCUCAAACCAUGGCAUAUUCACCAGAGUGAGUUUUUGUGAGGCCUCUUACUCUUUAUUUACCUAGAUAAGCAAUAGCACUUCCUGUGUGCCAGGUGAUGUUCUAAGCACUUUAUAAACAUUAACUCUUUCAGUUCUCAUGACAAUCCUAUGAGGUAGGUACUACGAUUGCUCACAUUUUAAAGAUAAGGAAAUUGGGGCAGAGAGAGACUAAGCAACUCACCCAAGGUCAGCAGGGAGUGGCAGACUUAGGAUUCGAACUUGAGCAGUCCACGCUCUCCACUGCUACACUAUGCCAUGCCCAUCAGCCAGCUCAUCUGCCCUGGGAUAUCUGACCUCCCCAGUCUCCCCGAGAAGCUUGCAUAGC